UGACCUCGGAUCAGGUAGGGAUACCCGCUGAACUUAAGCAUAUCAAUAAUCGGAGGAA
rnacentral:rRNA from 1 species